CCUUAACUCUGCAAUCUAAAACAUGGCAGUUUCAGAGGAACUGCAAUAUUUAUAUUGACAGGUUAAGAUUGCCUCUAGUGGCUGUCUACCAGUGUCUACCAGACAGCCACUAGAGGCACUUCCUGCUGUUUCAUAGAGUUUGACUCUGUUAAACGACGCUGGACAUCCUCACACUUUGCAUUAAGGAAGUCCAGAUUCUUAGAUCCUCCACAGGAAAGUAUUUAUUAAAUGCUUUAUGAGCGGUGAGACUGUAGGGGCAUGAUAUAUAC